GAUGAACGCUGGCGGCGUGCCUAAUACAUGCAAGUCGAGCGAACAGACGAGGAGCUUGCUCCUUUGACGUUAGCGGCGGACGGGUGAGUAACACGUGGGUAACCUACCUAUAAGACUGGGAUAACUUCGGGAAACCGGAGCUAAUACCGGAUAAUAUUUCGAACCGCAUGGUUCGAUAGUGAAAGAUGGCUUUGCUAUCACUUAUAGAUGGACCUGCGCCGUAUUAGCUAGUUGGUAAGGUAACGGCUUACCAAGGCAACGAUACGUAGCCGACCUGAGAGGGUGAUCGGCCACACUGGAACUGAGACACGGUCCAGACUCCUACGGGAGGUAGCAGUAGGGAAUCUUCCGCAAUGGGCGAAAGCCUGACGGAGCAACGCCGCGUGAGUGAUGAAGGUCUUCGGAUCGUAAAACUCUGUUAUUAGGGAAGAAUAAACGUGUAAGUAACUGUGCACGUCUUGACGGUACCUAAUCAGAAAGCCACGGCUAACUACGUG
rnacentral:rRNA from 1 species